rnacentral:rRNA from 1 species
GACGAACGCUGGCGGCGUGCUUAACACAUGCAAGUCGAACGGAAAGGCCCUGCUUUUGUGGGGUGCUCGAGUGGCGAAAGGGUGAGUAACACGUGAGUAACCUGCCCUUGACUUUGGGAUAACUUCAGGAAACUGGGGCUAAUACCGGAUAGGAGCUCCUGCUGCAUGGUGGGGGUUGGAAAGUUUCGGCGGUUGGGGAUGGACUCGCGGCUUAUCAGCUUGUUGGUGGGGUAGUGGCUUACCAAGGCUUUGACGGGUAGCCGGCCUGAGAGGGUGACCGGCCACAUUGGGACUGAGAUACGGCCCAGACUCCUACGGGAGGCAGCAGUGGGGAAUAUUGCACAAUGGGCGGAAGCCUGAUGCAGCAACGCCGCGUGCGGGAUGACGGCCUUCGGGUUGUAAACCGCUUUCGCCUGUGACGAAGCGUGAGUGACGGUAAUGGGUAAAGAAGCACCGGCUAACUACG